rnacentral:pre_miRNA from 1 species
CUCGGGGAGGGGGGGCCCCUCAGCCCGGAUUGCGACAGGGUGCAGGCCAGGCUGAGGGACUCCACUGGUGCAUG